AACGAGGCCGACCUGCGGCUGAGUUACCUGCGGAAGGAUCAUUACAACAAGGUUCCCUGGCCCUCGAAGCUUCGGCGGAGGGGCGCUACAGCCUGACUUUAUACCCACCCUUUGCCUAUGUGUACCCCUAUUGCUUCCCUCGGCGGGUUCGCCCGCCGACAGGAACCAACUAAACCCUUUGCAUUAUACAUUUAACACUUCCGAUACAAAACUAAAUUAUUACAACUUUUAACAAUGGAU
rnacentral:misc_RNA from 1 species